AGUGAGUUAGUCCAAAAUAAGACCUCUGAUUUCGACUCAGAAAAUCGUGGUUAAAAUCCACGACUCCCUU
rnacentral:tRNA from 1 species